GGGACUGUUGAUUCCUGUAUCUCUUUUUAGCACAGCAGGAAAUCGUUCCCAGAAGCGUCCAGGAGACUUCCCUCACAUCAUACUUCACUGGCCCAGCUGCCGAUGAACACACACAGUACACACAGAUCUACAGAUCUACAUCUCUGCCUCAUUUCUAAGCCAUUGUAUCCAAUGCUUUACAUGUGCCACACUUCAUCCUCUGACCUCCUGAUCAACAGUCGGGGUUCUGUGACGCUGCAAUCAACGUUCUUGGAGAGACCUCGUGGAUUGAACGCCGGUUUCUCUCAGCAAUCAUGCAAAACUCUUGACAGGAAAAGAGAAAUGUACACUGCCAAAUGCAUCUCGACUGCAAGUCAUCAGUUUUAAUGGUAAUUCCAAGUGUCUGACAAAAACUCUGCCAAACAUAUUAGAACUCAGUAUGUCAGCAAACGGCAAAAAUUCGCAUUAUAGUCACCUUUCUUUUUCUCCCCAUCACUGAAUUUCUGUGGUCAUAGUUUGGUCAGCCUCAUAAAAAAGAGCUGAGAACAUUUUCAAGCCUCAUUCUGAAGAGAGGCAUGGUAGAUAGCUAGUGGUAGACACUGCUCUAGUUCAAAAUCAUUUAUACUAACCACUGCCAAGGGGGAGAGGAAGAAAGGAGAAAAAGGGGUUGAAAUUUUCGAAAAGUUAAUGAAAAGACAAUAUGUUACCCAUUCAGCUAUUUGCCUACUUUGUGUCCAGAACAGUAACUAGC